CUGGACGUAAGACACUGUGACUGCAACAUGAAAACUUUAACAAACCCGACGAAACAUGACGGAAACAAUAAUCAAAUAGACCGGAGCAAGCGGAAGGUAAAGAAAAACAUGUUAUUUUGUGACAGCUGCUGCCUUCCCCGAACUGGCUCGAGGGGCGUUCAAGAUCUCUGUGUUUCCAGGGCAUCACAGAGUUACAAAACAUGGCAGCUGCUGGGACAUCAGACACAUACUGUAUAACGUGGGGAUUUAUCACACUUCAAACAUUGUAACAGGCUGAUUGGAAUUUUCAAAAUUAUUAUUUUUUUCUAACAACUAAUUUGUAAAGGAAAAAGUCCCAUGCCAAAUAUUAUGUUUUUUUAAUCGAUUCAUACUUAAUUUAUGAUGAAUUGUAUACAUGUAGAAUUAAAAUGUGCUGAUACAAAAUAAAUGUAUUAGAGUUA